GUCUCCGUAGCUCAAGUGGAUAGAGCAGUCGUUUCCUAAACGACGGAUCCGUGUUCGAGUCACGGCGGGGACACCA
rnacentral:tRNA from 1 species